CUAACCCCGGGAGCGGGUUGAAAUAUCCGCUGAGCAGAUCAAGGGUAUGGAUUCCCGGUGUAGCGUAAAUGCGUAAUUCGGAGGACACAGUGACGAAGGCGCUACAUGGGGUCUUGCUACGCUGAGGACGAAACCAGGGGAGCGAACGGGAUUAGAUACCCGGUAGUCCUGGCGUAAACGAUGGGCACUAGGUGUAGGGAGAUCGACCUUCUCUGCGCCGCCGCUAACGCAUUAAGUGCCCCGCAUGGGAAGUACAACCGCAAGGUUAAAACUCAAAGGAAUUGACGGGUCCCCGCACAAGCAGUGGAGCAUGUGGUUUAAUUCGAGGAUACGCGAAGAACCUUACCAGGGUUUGACAUCCCGCUGAAAGCACCUAGAGAUAGGAGCCUCCUUCGGGCAGUGGAGACAGGUGGUGCAUGGCUGUCGUCAGCUCGUGCCGUGAGGUGUUGGAUUAAGUUCCGCAACGAGCGCAACCCUCGUUGUUAGUUGCCAUCAUUAAGUUGGGCACUCUAGCGAGACUGCCGGUGUCAAGCCGGAGGAAGGUGGGGACGACGUCAAGUCAUCAUGCCCUUUAUAUCCUGGGCUACACACGUGCUACAAUGGACGGUACAACGGGUUGCCACACCGCGAGGUGGAGCGAAUCCCUUAAAGCCGUUCUCAGUUCGGAUCGGAGGCUGCAACUCGCCUCCAUGAAGUUGGAAUUGCUAGUAAACGUGGAUCAGCAUGCCGCGUUGAAUACGUACCCGGGGAUUGUACACACCGCCCGUCACACCAUGGAAGUUGGUAACACCCGAAGUCCGUAAGCUAACCCUUUGGGAAGCAGCGGCCGAAGGUGGGAUCAGUGACUAGGGUGAAGUCGUAACAAGGUAACC
rnacentral:rRNA from 1 species